GACGAACGCUGGCGGCGUGCUUAACACAUGCAAGUCGAACGGAAAGGCCCUGCUUUUGUGGGGUGCCCGAGUGGCGAACGGGUGAGUAACACGUGAGUAACCUGCCCUUGACUUUGGGAUAACUUCAGGAAACUGGGGCUAAUACCGGAUAGGAGCUCCUGCUGCAUGGUGGGGGUUGGAAAGUUUCGGCGGUUGGGGAUGGACGCGCGGCUUACCAGCUUGUUGGUGGGGUAGUGGCUUACCAAGGCUUUGACGGGUAGCCGGCCUGAGAGGGUGACCGGCCACAUUGGGACUGAGGUACGGCCCAGACUCCUACGGGAGGCAGCAGUGGGGAGUAUUGCACAAUGGGCGGAAGCCUGAUGCGACAACGCCGCGUGCGGAAUGACGGCCUUCGGGUUGUAAACCGCUUUCGCCUGUGACGAAGCGUGAGUGACGGUAAUGGGUAAAGAAGCACCGGCUAACUACGUG
rnacentral:rRNA from 1 species